rnacentral:rRNA from 1 species
GGGUCAGUAGGUUGGUCGUGCCACCGGUACGUACUGGUCUCACUGAUUCCUCCUUCCUGAAGAACCGUAAUGCCAUUAAUUUGGUGUUGCGGGGAAACAGGACUGUUACUUUGAAAAAACUAGAGUGUUUAAAGCAAGCUAACGCUUGAAUACAUCAGCAUGGAAUAAUGAAAUAGGACGAUCGAUCCUAUUUUGUUGGUUUCUAGGAUUGACGUA